rfam:Myotis brandtii contig194051, whole genome shotgun sequence.
GGACGUGAGGGUGAUCUGGCUGCAACGUCUGUCACCCCACUGAUCGCCAGGGUUGAUUCGGCUGAUCUGGCUGGUUAGGCAGGUGUCCCCUUCCUCCCUCACCACUCCAUCUGCCUUUCUCCCCAAGCUGUGCUCUUGGUCGAAGAUGGCUUUCCCCGCUAGAGGAGAGGACUAACUGUUCUUGUAGCUGCACUCUCCUGCUAGAAUCUCCAGACAAGCUCUCAGGGUCCAUUUGUAGAGCAUAGGGUAGUCAAGCUUCCAAGACUCCAGACACAUUCAAAUGAGGUGCUGCAUGUGGCAACCUGCCAUUCAAG